GAUGAACGCUGGCGGCGUGCUUAACACAUGCAAGUCGAACGAAGCACUUUAUUUGAUUUCCUUCGGGACUGAUUAUUUUGUGACUGAGUGGCGGACGGGUGAGUAACGCGUGGGUAACCUGCCUUGUACAGGGGGAUAACAGUUGGAAACGGCUGCUAAUACCGCAUAAGCGCACGGCAUCGCAUGAUGCAGUGUGAAAAACUCCGGUGGUAUAAGAUGGACCCGCGUUGGAUUAGCUAGUUGGUAAGGUAACGGCCCACCAAGGCGACGAUCCAUAGCCGACCUGAGAGGGUGACCGGCCACAUUGGGACUGAGACACGGCCCAAACUCCUACGGGAGGCAGCAGUGGGGAAUAUUGCACAAUGGGCGAAAGCCUGAUGCAGCGACGCCGCGUGAGCGAAGAAGUAUUUCGGUAUGUAAAGCUCUAUCAGCAGGGAAGAUAAUGACGGUACCUGACUAAGAAGCACCGGCUAAAUACGUG
rnacentral:rRNA from 1 species